rnacentral:misc_RNA from 1 species
GAUGAAGAACGCAGCGAAAUGCGAUAAGUAAUGCGAAUUGCAGAAUCCGUGAGUCAUCGAAUCUUUGAACGCACAUUGCACCCUCUGGUAUUCCGGAGGGCAUGCCUGUUCGAGCGUCAUUAUCACCCCUCAAGCCCGGCUUGUUGUUGGAUGCAGCGCUUAUCCCGCUCCUCCCAAAGAUAAUGACGGCGUCUGCGACGACUCCUGUACACUGAGCUUUCGGGCACGUACACGGCUAGAAGUCCAGACCCGGUCGCCGUCCCCCCCGCGGGGACACCCAUUACCACAAGGUUGACCUCGGAUCAGGUAGGAAUACCCGCUGAACUUAAGCAUAUCAAUAAGCGGAGGA